GAUGAACGCUGGCGGCGUGCCUAACACAUGCAAGUCGAGCGAACAGACGAGGAGCUUGCUCCUCUGACGUUAGCGGCGGACGGGUGAGUAACACGUGGAUAACCUACCUAUAAGACUGGGAUAACUUCGGGAAACCGGAGCUAACACCGGAUGAUAUAUUGAACCGCAUGGGUCAUUAGAGAAAGACGGCUGUGCUGGCACUAAUAGAGGCAUCCGCGCUGCAUGAGCUAGUUGGUAGGGUAACGGCUUACCAAGGCUAGGAUGCGUAGCCGACCUGAGAGGGUGAUCGGCCACACUGGAACUGAGACACGGUCCAUACUCCUACGGGAGGCAGCAGUGGGGAAUCUUCGGCAAUGGGCGAAAGCCUGACGCAGCAACGCCGCGUGAGUGAUGAAGGUCUUCGGAUCGUAAAGCUCUGUUAUUAGGGAAGAACAGCUGUGUAAGUAACUAUGCACGUCUUGACGGUACCUAAUCAAAAAGCCACGGCUAACUACGUG
rnacentral:rRNA from 1 species